rnacentral:rRNA from 1 species
UCCGUAGGUGAACCUGCGGAAGGAUCAAUAAUGAAUACGC